rnacentral:misc_RNA from 1 species
AUUUUAUGGGCUAGGAAAAUUUCCGUUCUUUCUUCUUUCUCUCGAAUAUAUAUAAAUAUAUAAGAAAAGAAGGUUUGCUGUGUUUGGUCUCCAUUGACGUUUGAAGCUGACAGACACCAGCACUGGCAUUCCUUAUUGGGGAUAAUGUUGUCUAGGGAUGUCAUGUUGUUUUAUUAUUAAAUAAUGGUUCUCCGAUGCAAACGACAAGUAUGUUCUGUCGUUGAACACAAAAUAUAACGUUGGUAUUUCAUAACUUACUGUGGAAUGUAUAGAGCAAGUAAAAGAUGGCAAUUAUCAAUUUCCAUUGAAUUAUAUAUUUAGUUAUUUACACGGGAAUACAGAAUUAACCAAGAAAAAAAAAUGAUAUCCAGAUUGAGAAAAGAAUUGAUACACAGCUUGAUCAGACGAAUCAGAAUAAGAACAACUACAUGAACACAUCCAAAGCUUGGCUUGGCUUCUGCUGUUAUAAUUGCUAGCACAAGGCGUUAGGCAGCUAGUGCUAUCGGUCUAAUAAAGGAGUUUGGCCUCUUCUCGGAGUUUUGUAUUUCUUAUCCGUUCUCCAGUUUGUUGGUAAUGUUUCUCAGACAACCGAAUUCUUUCUUGGUAAUUCUGUUCUUAAAUCUAGACAUUCUCUUUCCAGGGAAGCGAGUCUAUUUUUCAUCAGUUCAAGUGCCUUUUCAGCAACUGCAGGGCUUAUAUUGGACACAGGUUUUGCUAUUCCUGCUGCCUGAUGUUUCAAUAGAGUGACAAGACCCUGCCAUCUUCAGUUUCCAGUAGAAGAUUCAAUUCUGAAUAGCAGUCAACUUUAGACCAAAGAUAACAACAGUUUUCUCUUUGGGCUAACCUUCAGUUUAACCAUUGAUUGCUGUGCCUUAAUCAAAAUUUAUACAAGGACUUUUUCCUCUGCCUCUUUAAUAGAAGCAGCCUGAUCUUUGACAAGGGCAUCUUUCCUUUGAUUAAUCUCUGCUGAGUCACAAGGUUGUAAAUUCUUGCACUUUAACUCAUUGAGAUUAUUAUUAACAUUCAAUUCUGAAAACCUAUUCACAAUCACAAAAGCAGCUGUCGCACAAACUGAUGACUUAGUAGCAUGAAGUUCUGCCAGCUUCACUUUGUCCUCCAGCUCUGCAAUUGUAGUUGUUUUCUCUUUUAACAGAGACUUCAAGAGAAAAUUUUCUUUCUCCUUUUCAUUGCACUCCUGUAAAUGUGCUUCAUUGAUCACCAGUACUGCUCCUCUCAGAGACUUAAGCAUACACUCUGCAUCACUUCUUUUAUUGUUUGCGUCCUCUAAACAUUUGCUGAGUUCUUCAAUCAGGAACUCCUUUUCAGAGAUGAUUCUAAUUAACCUGCCAACUUGUUCAGAGAUCCAAAUCCUUUUAUGUGGAAAGGUGGUAGAGAUAUGUUUGAGCUGAUCAGAGGCAUCGGUAAGUGCCUCUAGCCCAUCUGCAACAAUUUCUGCUAUUUCACAAGCCAACAGUUCCCACUCAUCAGAUAAAGUUCUCAAUUCUCCAUCUUUACUCUCUAACUUUCCAUGCAACUCUUUGUUGUCUUUAGUUAAGAGGUGUAACUCUCCCUUCAGCUCCUUCAACUCAUUUUCUAGUAGCAUUACAACUUUAUUAGUCUCGAUCUCUUUCAAAUGGCAAUUGUGGACCUGCUGCUGAAGAAUGGAUAGUUCUUCCUGCAUACAGACAAUAACCUCAACAGUUUCAGCUUCUGCCUGCCUACGAACUUCAUCCAUUUCUUCUUCAUUGGUUGCCUGAAAAGCAUGAUCAUUUCGGUACCACAUAUUCAGUCUCUUGGCCUUCUCAAGUGAAUCUUGCAUCCUCUUCAGUUUCGUUUGUAAAAUAGAGUCCUUACCAUCUAACCGGUCAGAUGGAUAAUCUCUUAAAUCUUGUCGAGAAAGUUGCUCUUUCAGUUCCAUUAUUUCAAACUCUUUUUCAUGCAAAAGCUCCAAAUAGUGACUGUUACUUUUCCUCAGGUCUUCCAUCUCAUUUAUCGUCAGUAUUUGUUGAGACUCAAGGGCUUCAACAACUAACUUUGCCUCUUUCAAUUCAUGAGUUGCUUCUCCAUGUUGCUUGCUUACAAACAGAAGCUUUUCAUUGGCCAGUUCAAGUUCUCUACUCAAGCAUGCUGUCCUUUCUUCUACUUCACCAUGGAUUGAUCUCUCUUCUUUGAGAAUAAUCUUCAAUAUAUCCAAUUGCAGCUGUAAAUCCAAGACUUCUUCCGCAUGUUUCAUUACUGAUAUAAUAUGCAUGCUUUCCCCCCCAUUCUUAACUCCCCUAAGCAUGCCAAAUUCAGAAGUAAGAGCUUCUGAUGGAUCCUUAAUGUUUUUGACAUUGUCAUCUUUAUCCUGGGCGGUACAUUUGAGAUUGUCUAACAUAAACUGCAGAUCAUGUGUUUCUCUACAAAAGAUCAUGAAAUCAAAAUUCCAUCAUGAAACAAAAAAAAUUGCUACCUGAAUUGAGGGAUUCUGGACGACAAUUACAUAUCAAAAUGAAUGUAAAACAGAAUUCCAAAUGAACUUAAAAAGGCACUAGAAUUCCUCACCUACUUAGUUUUUUGUUCUCCUCUAAGCAAGAACUCAACUUACACCUGCACUCCUCUAACUCAUUGAGACUGUUCUUUAACUGACAAAAAUGGAAAGUGAGUGUGAAAUAUAUUAAAAAUUUUCAAGGAGAAAAAAGUGUAAUAUUUCUUGUUAAGCAAGUAGCAGCAACCUCUAAAUGGAGAGAAUUGUCUUUGUUGCUGAUGCACAUAGAUUCCUGAGGUUGGCCAUUGACAUUGGGAUGGUUAUUUCGUAUAGAUUUCCCAUCAAGAUAAUGAAGCAGCUGUUCCUGAAGUUUGGAUACUUUAUCCAAGAGUAUUUCUCUCUCUCCUUCUUGAUAGAAUUCUUGAAAUCUAUUAUAGGCACAGUGAAAAAUUAAUAAAAAAUGAACAUCUAGACCAUUCUUUGAUGCAAAAACAAAGAAAAAACCUUUUGAGUUGGUUCAAAAGCCUUAUAUUCUCCAUUGCAAAGCGAGUUAUUUCAGGAAUUUUAUCUACUUUAGCUUGAAGCAACUGGAUCUCUUCACAGAGGGCCCUGUUCUCUUCAAGCAAAUAAGUAUCUUGAGAUAAUGAAUCACCAAGAAUUGACUCCAUUCUUUGAAUUUUGUCUUCCCGAUAUCUGAGCAUCAUUUUUGUGAUCCUGGUCUCUUCCUCUCUUUGACAAACCAAGCAGUUCAACUGCUCAAUUUUAGCUUCAAGUUUCUUGAUGUGUGUCUCUGCCAUCUGUUCUCUUCUCAAUGCACCAGCAAGUGUUGUCUCCAAAGAAUUCAACUGCUCAGUGGACAUUCUAAUUAUGUCUUUUGAUUCAAAUCCAAGCAGGCCAUCAACCUGCUGCUGAUCUGUUACAUACAUGUUUUCAGAGCAAGCAGCAUCUUUUACUUGAGUCGUAUCUUUGCCAGUUGAACCAAAUGACAAAGAUCUGAAGACAUUUUGACGUUUUAGAAGAGAAAGCUCCUCCUUUAAAAGCCGUAUUUGAUGCUGUAGUGCAAUGACAUCCCCAGUGGAAUCUUCGUUCACAAUAGCAUUAUUCUGGAUAAGUUUUGCUCUCUGAGCAAAUUUUAAAGUACUCAGUGUUUCAGCUGCACAGCAGAUAGAAGGGCUGACAUUAGCAAUGAUCAUUGUUUUUGAGUUUCCACCAAGCGAGUCCUGAAGAAGGAAGGUCAACCGUGAAUCCCUGUAAGGAACAUGUUUGUGUUUCCCGUUUGCCACAUCUACUAGAAUCAUAAUUACAUGACCUAACGUGGACAAUGAUUUGUUUAUGUUUGCAGCUUCCUUUAGACGCUCACCUUCAGCACCUGAACUUUUCUGCCUUUCUGAACCUGCAAGAUCAACUAGGUUCAAUCUAGCAAACCUUAGGUUAGUUGUGGAAUCUUUUUCCCACCUGCUCUCAAUAACACAAGUAAAAACACUAUGCGACCGACUGCUUUGUCUAUUCAUAUUUGUUGCUGCAACUUUCCUAUUUACAGAACCCUGAGUCAGUAGCUUCAGAAUGUCGCUCACAGUUCGAACUUCAAAUUCUGAGAGAUUUUCUACAUAGACACCCUGCUUGACAUCCUCCCUCAGAAGCAAAUUGGUAGAUGAGGGAUCAAGGAGAUCGGUAAUUUGUUCAUUGUAAAUCUCUAAGAAAGAGCACUUGCAAUUAUAUUUUAGUCUUUCAUCCCUACGACUUUCUUCCUCAGCUUGAAUCCUUGCAAACAAAAAUUCAAAUAUCCUUGGUGUCAAUCCACGGCGUUGGCUGGGCUUGACUUCUAAUUCUAAAUCAUCAAUUUCACCAAGCAUUGUGUAUGUCUUCCCACUUCCUGUCUGACCAUAGGCAAACAUACAGCUGUUGUAGCCAGACAAGCAAUUCUCCACCAUGGGGAGACCAGCCAUCCUAAAAAGCAUUUCCUGAUCCACUGUUUCACACGCUACAUGGUCAAAUGUGAAGCGAGUUUCUGAUUGUCCAAUCCAAGUGAUACUUUGGGCACUUUCUUGCUUCAAGCACCUGUUGUAACCAUGCAUACUCUUCUCCAUGCUACUGAGAGGACGCACACGAACAAGAACCUGUACAUUGUGAUCCAUCCAAAAUGAUGGAUCCUCCUUGAGAUCAAAAUGAGGGACUUCAACAGUAUUAACGACAGUAGUACUCGAACCACCAGUAACGGGAACCCCCCUAUACAAUGCAGCAAAGUUUCCUGCACGCCCUCCUCCAAUACCUCCAUCAAACUUACUCCUAUACCCUGAACUCGUAGGCUUAGAAACACUCUUGGUUGGUGUGCUUUGUGUGGAAUUAGUCUCAGAAUGACUUGAAGUAGGCCUCCUCGUCGACCUUGGAGUAAUGUUAGGCAAGCCCCCAUGAUUCAGCAGCAUAGAAUAGUUGUUAAUAUCAGGUCUCAUUUCAUCACGCGAGUCAUUGGGAGUGGAGCUAGGCCCAUUUCCCUGAGUCCACCCCAAUUGGUUCUUGGUAUGAAAUCCCACUCCUCCAUAUUUAUCCGGAGGCAAAGUUGAGUCACAGUUCUUGGGUUUGGGCUUGGCUGGUGUUCUAUCAAUUUUACUUCUAGCGGUUACCGCUUCUUGCUCAAAUUUAGGGUUAGGAGGGUGAAGAAUUGGGGCUGGGACUUGAAUCGUGUUCAAUGGAGGCCUAGAUGAGUCGGCCCUGGCUUGACUCGCCAAUGAAUAUCUAGGAUUUACAGGCACAUUCUCGAUUUCCUCGCUCUGCUUGCCCGAAUUCCGGCGCAGGAAUUUGAAAUCUCUCAACAUCCUGAAACAGGAAUUGAAGAACAAAAUCUGGAGAUUUUUAGUUACUGAAAUUUUGUUUUCCGUUGCUGAGAUGAGAGCUGAUUUCAGCUGGAUUUUUCAGGGACUUUAGUGAAAAAGCUGAAAAAUGAAAACUGGAAAAUUAUUGGAUCUUGAUUUCAGUAAACAUCUCUCUCUCUCUCUCCCUGGAUCGUAGUUUUAGCUUAAAGCAUCUGGAAUUCUGCAUCACUAUUUU